UUUUGAUUAAUAAUUUAAAGUCUAAUCUGCCCACUGAUAAUAUAUUAAAGGGCUGCAGUAUUUUGACUGUACAAAGGUAGCAUAAUCAUUAGUCUCUUAAUUGGUGACUUGUAUGAAGGAUUUGAUGAAAUAUAUACUGUCUCUUUUUAAUUUAUAAAAUUUAAUUUUUUAGUUAAAAAGCUAAAAUGUAUUUAAAAGACGAGAAGACCCUAUAGAGUUUUAUACUCAUUUAAAUUAAAAUUUUUUAUAAGAUUUAAAAUUUUAAUUUAAAUGAGUAUUUUGUUGGGGUGAUAGAAAAAUUAAAAUAACUUUUUUUAUAAUUUUACAUUAAUAAAUGAAUAAAUGAUCCGUAAUUUACGAUUAUAAGAUAAAAUUACCUUAGGGAUAACAGCGUAAUUUUUUUUUUUAGUUCAAAUAAGAAAAAAAGUUUGCGACCUCGAUGUUGGAUUAAGAUAAAAUUUAAAUGCAAAAGUUUAAAAUUUUUGAUCUGUUCGAUCAUUAAAAUCUUACA
rnacentral:rRNA from 1 species